rnacentral:rRNA from 1 species
GACGAACGCUGGCGGCGUGCUUAACACAUGCAAGUCGAACGGUGAAGCUCCAGCUUGCUGGUGUGGAUCAGUGGCGAACGGGUGAGUAACACGUGAGCAACCUGCCCCUGACUUUGGAAUAAGCGCUGGAAACGGCGUCUAAGACUGGAUACGAGACGGGUCCGCAUGGGCACUUUCUGAAAAGUUUGUCGGUUGGGGAUGGGCUCGCGGCCUAUCGGCUUGUUGGUGAGGUAAUGGCAGACCAAGGCGACGACGGGUAGCCGGCCUGAGAGCGCGACCAGCCACAAUGGGACUACGGGACGGACCAGACUCCUACGGGAGGCAACAGUGGGAAAUCUUGCCCAGUCAGCCCGCGUCUGAUGAAACGGCGCUCCGUGUGUAAUGACGGCCUUCGGGUUAUAAACCUCUGUAAGCAGGGAAGAAGCGAAAGUGACGGUACCUGCAGAAGAAGCACCGGCUAACUACGUG